UGGGGCGUAGCCAAAUUGGUAAGGCACCAGAUUUUGGUUCUGGCUAUUGUUGGUUCGAGUCCAGCCGCCCCAGCCA
rnacentral:tRNA from 1 species